GAUAUUGAGAGUUUGAGUGAGAGCGAUAGGGAGAGCGUUUGAGAGAGAGGUUUGUGAACGAGAUGGAAGGAGGGCGUGAGAGGUUGAGAGAGCAUCGUUGAGAUUGGAAUGGGAUGGAGAGAUUGAGAGAGAAAGAGUUCUGAGAUUUCGUUUCAUUUUCUUUUUUUAUUUAUUAUUUACUUUAAGCGUGGUUAAAAACCCUUUUAAUUCCAUUUUAAGUGAUUGUUGGUUUUUCCCAGUAGAUAUUAUAUUGGCGAUUAAAGUUGAUUCUUUUUUUUUACCAUUUCCAACCUAUUCCCCUUUGGAAACCCAACAGACAAGUGGUUGGGAUUAAUUAGGUUAUUCUACCUUUUUUUAUUAUUUAGUUUUUUUAUUUUUUAUUUUAAUUCUUUUUUAAUAUAUCUUAGUUUAUAUAUUUAAAUUAGCAUUAAAAUAACAGUUAGUUGGUAAGUGGCUUGGUGGAGGGGAGUGGUGUUUAGGUCUUUAGUGUGGUGGGUUCGAUUCCCCUAUGCGUAGUUUUUUCUCUUUUAACAUUUUCUUUUAUAUUUAUGCUUUAUUACUCAUGGUUUUUUAUUAUGGUUUAAUAAUAUAGAUUUGUUUUUUCUUUUAAUUGCAUCAUGU
rnacentral:lncRNA from 1 species